CAGAGAGUUAAGAUUGUCCCGGUCGUUGGCUCUCCUCACCCUGGGUGUUCUGUAGCACAGGGCACAUCCUAUUAGAAGAUCUUCCUCGAGUCAGGAUGAGAUCUGUAGCUGCGGAACCACAUAAGCUGCUGACCAUACUUGAACCAAACCCAGGACUCUGGCCUCGUUUUCAUAGUGCUGUGAUUUAUUGGGCUAACCAAGAAAGCCUUUGCAGUUGGAUACUGAGAAAACAAGUAUGGAAACCGUAAUACCUUGAGGAGCACGUUGCAGCCUGGGAAUAUCAAAGUUGGACCUUUAGAGCCUUAAUCCUGCCUGCUCCCUGUUGGAAUAAUAAAUGAACACAGUGUAAAACA
rnacentral:lncRNA from 1 species